rnacentral:rRNA from 1 species
UACGGGGGGGGCAAGCGUUAUUCGGAAUUACUGGGCGUAAAGGGCGUGUAGGUGGCCAACUAAGUCCGACGUGAAAUCCCCAGGCUUAACCUGGGAACUGCGUCGGAUACUGGAUGGCUUGGAUUUGGGAGAGGGAUGCGGAAUUCCAGGUGUAGCGGUGAAAUGCGUAGAUAUCUGGAGGAACACCGGUGGCGAAGGCGGCAUCCUGGACCAAUAUUGACGCUGAGGAGCGAAAGCCAGGGGAGCAAACGGG